rnacentral:rRNA from 1 species
ACUCAGAGGGGGAGGUAAUACCGGCGAAAGUCGGACUAAUACCGCAUGAAGCAGGGAUCCCGCAUGGGAAUAUUUGCUAAAGAUUCAUCGCUGAUAGAUAGGCAUGCGUUCCAUUAGGCAGUUGGCGGGUAACGGCCCACCAAACCGACGAUGGAUAGGGGUUCUGAGAGGAAGGUCCCCCACAUUGGUACUGAGACACGGACC